rnacentral:lncRNA from 1 species
GCAUGCACAUUAUUAAUAUUGCAAUUAAAUGUACAACCAUUAAUUAAAUACUUAAAGAAGUAAAUUACAAUUUCUUAACCACUAUAAAUGAUGGCCCUCGAAACAAGUGUGACAAUCCAAAUAUUGAUCUGUAAAAUAAAAUCAGAAAAAUGAAGUGCAAAGGGCUUGGACCUGUGGUUGCAAUUAUGGUGAUAGCCUUCCUAAUUAGUGCAGUUGCAAAUGCAGAUCAAUGUGAAGAUUGUCUUAAAGGCUGCAUCGACAAACUCAUCAUGUCUCUCUGCAAGUUAAAAUGCAGAAAAGUUUGUUCAUGAAGUCGCGGCCGCCGUCGCAGCAGCUGCUCCGCCGCCGGGGGUUUAUUGAUCUAUAUUCUGUAACUACGUAAUUUUAUUUAAUAUUUGAGGGAAUAUUCCCUUGAUUUGGAGUUGCAUUGCAUGAGAAGUGACUUUUAUGAAUUAUGAAUUUGUUGCUUCAUCUCUAAGUUAAUUAUGUCAUUGUGAUCAAAAAGAUUAGUUGACAUAGUCCAAACAGAUUUCUUAUUAUCACACAAAAUAUUUAUUUUCAAUAAUUAAUUAACACUAAAAGAGAAGUACCAACUGUUCUUUUCAGGAAAGAAAUGAAUAAAUGAAGACCGGCCCCAAUUGUUAGCGAGGCAGAGAAUUUUCUAAUCCUUUCUAAAUUAUCACAUCCAGUUUUAAGAUCUCACAAGAUCCACUAGUGAUAUGAUUAGACAAAAAUCUUGUUUCUACCCCAGGCCACCCCCCCGAUAAUAAUAAUAAUAAUAAUAAAUAAAUGGUUGUGUAUGACAAGUGGACGCCCGAUAUUCUUAAUUAAUGAUAUUUUGAGGUUAAUUAGGAUUUAAAUUAAAAUUUUAUAUUUUAUAUAUAAUUAGAAUUUAAUGAUUGGAGUUUAUUGAUUUAUGAAUUUGAAAGUGUGAAAAUACAGUUUCGCCACAAUGAUAAAAUUGGAACUUCAAGGGAAGAAAAUACUUCAUCGGUCCAUGAAAAAUGAGACACGUAUAACUUAUUAUUUUUGGCGUCCAUAAAAAGUGGGAUAAAAAAAAAUACAUGAGCCCAUAUCUUUUCUCUUAUUUACAAAAAAAAAAAAAAUUAAUUCAAUUUCAACCACUUAUUUCAUAUAAUGGUGUGAUUCUCUUCUAACUAUUUUUUUUAUUAAAAUUUAUGCCCAAAAAAUAUGUCCCAUUUUUUUGGACGAGAGAAUAAAUUUUUUGUUUUCUUCACUCCAGCUCUAGUCUCUCCAACCUUAUUUCUCCCUCUAUCCGUUUUUGUAGUGAAGAAAAAGGAAAGUCGAGAAAGAGUUUAAAGGCUUAUUAGAUUAACGUUUCCUUAAAUUUAAGGGGGUAUGACAUAUAAAAUAUUAGUACUAUCAUUUUCUCCGUCACUUAAAAAUAUAUUAUCUUUUGUCAUUUCAGAUCAUCUCACAAAAUAUGUACUUUUAUUUUGAACGCUACCCCACCAUAAUAUCUUGAUUUUCUAUCCAUUCUUUUCAUACUUAUUUACAAAAAAAUUGUCAUGACCGAUCACAAUACACUCUCAUCUAACAUAACACUUUUAUAAAAUGAAACCUUAUUUUUCAACUACAAAAUACAUUCUCAUCUAACAUUUUUAAAAACUUAUGCCACCCACUCUUUCACAUAUAUUUUUAAAAAGGAAAGCAGUAUUAUAUUUUUGGAAGGAGUCUUGUGAAGAGCAAAGAAAAAGACUAUACACUCGAUCACGACUUCCUUUUUAUUUCUAAUGUUCCUUUUCUUUCUAAGACUAUACACUCAAUCACUCAUUCAUAUUAACCCCCUUUCAGGUGAUUUGAAUAAUUAAUUUAUGGUUAGGAGGAAGGCGUCUUGGCAUCUAAAAUACGCUUCAUCAUCAUUUAUUAAAAUAUUAUAAAUUAUUAAUAAUUACAUUGAAUAAAAUUCUNUAUUUGUAAUUUAAAAUCUAACGAACUCUUUUACAAGAGAUUAUAAAAGAUAAUUAGAAAACACUCGAAACUAGAUUACCACAUUAAUAAAUCACAAACAAAAUGCAGCCCCAGAUCUCAUGUAUCCACAUCGAAAUUACAAAAAGCACUACAGACUGCAUGCACAUUAUUAAUAUUGCAAUUAAAUGUACAACCAUUAAUUAAAUACUUAAAGAAGUAAAUUACAAUUUCUUAACCACUAUAAAUGAUGGCCCUCGAAACAAGUGUGACAAUCCAAAUACUGAUCUGUAAAAUAAAAUCAGAAAAAUGAAGUGCAAAGGGCUUGGACCUGUGGUUGCAAUUAUGGUGAUAGCCUUCCUAAUUAGUGCAGUUGCAAAUGCAGAUCAAUGUGAAGAUUGUCUUAAAGGCUGCAUCGACAAACUCAUCAUGUCUCUCUGCAAGUUAAAAUGCAGAAAAGUUUGUUCAUGAAGUCGCGGCCGCCGUCGCAGCAGCUGCUCCGCCACCGGGGGGCUAUUCAUCUAUAUUCUGUAACUACGUAAUUUUUAUUUUAAUAUUUGAGGGAAUAUUCCCUUGAUUUGGAGUGCAUUGCAUGAGAAGUGAC